GAAGUAAGAGUGUUUUACUUUUACUAACUUUUUUAAAAAUUCAAAAGUAAUUAAUACAGAUAAUUCAAACAAAAUGUACUGAAAUAAUAUAAAAUAAUAAAAUACGAAAAUAAUAUAUUUUUAUUGAAAGUAAUAAAAUUCGGGAGAAUAAUACGAGCAAAGAGCAGGAAUAAGGUUUUUUUACAUUAAAUUAAUGUAAAAAAUACACUAAAUUAAUAAAUUUAAAAC
rnacentral:lncRNA from 1 species